AUUGGGGGAUUUGGAAGACCUAUGGCCUCUGGGUUCUCUUAGCUACUUCGCUUUGGUAUUUAGAAAUCCUAUUUCCUAGCCUUAUAGAUCAGAGACUCAGUAGGAAACGGUCAAGUUUAUCCACGCUAGGAAUAAAAAUGGGACAGGGGCAGGCAGCAACAGGGAAAUCUCUUUUACUUGGCCCGGGGCCAUGAGCUCUUGUGUAUAAUAGCAGCUGGACCCCUGAGCACCUCCUGCCUUUCCCAAAUAUACCCCCACACACGCACCCCCACACCCCCACACACUAUGAUGUAAUUUUAUUUUCUGGAGGAAAAAAGCCAUGAGCUCAGCAUGCAAAUAUAGACAACAAAGCCACACUUAGCUGUCUCCUAGCUCUGUCCUUCUGCCUAGGCCCAGUGUGAUAAUUCUCACUUCCCCUACACCUCAGGGACUUUCCUCCUCCAGAGGCUCACUCAGCCGGGCUGAAAGAGGGAGGAGGGAGGAGGGAGAAUUGGAGAAGCAUCCGAUUUUCACCCUACCUCCAUGAGGGGCGUCAGCUCAGCUCUGCAAGUGCCUGACCCUGAGAACGGCUUCAAUGUUUGCACACCACCAGGAACACCCCAUUUUGCCUUCAGGUCCAGCUGAUCAGAGACCCUUCCAGAAGCCUAAGAUGAGCCCCUUCUUCUGGGAGGAGCAGGUCCUGGUCCUGUGCCUUAGGUUUCAUAUAUAGUUCUUCUCUUUGCUCCUCUUACCCCCAGCCCCACCCCCACCCCCCACAUGGCUGCCCAUUGCUCCUUUGAGGGUAACUAAUAUACCCUCAGAAGUUGCUUUUGUUUCUGAGUCGCUGUAGGGUCGGAAUCUAUCAUGUUGACCCAUCUUUGAGACACAGAGUGACUGUACACUUUUGCAUAGACAUACCACAUUUACAUGAGACAAAUGAGGCAGAGCAAAACACAGAGAAUGUGGACUUUAUACUUAUUCUGUUUCCAUAGACAAAUUAAGUCCAUAAAGUUGAGGAUACCAGUCUCACUUCAUAGGGUUCUUCUGAGAAUCAGGAAUAAUAAAGUUUUUAGGGACUGGUACCAGAUAGGUGCAAAAAAAAAAAAUCAAAGACAUGUAGUCUAGUAUCUUUUGAUCUAUAUGAAGUGAAUCCCAUAAUAUUUUUAUGAUGUAACCUAAUACCCAAUUACCUAUUAGUUAUCCAUUACAUGUGAUUAGGUCGAUUAGAUAUCUGGUUUCUGCUUUAUAUACUUCUGUCGCUUUCCCUAAGAAUACUUCCUGGAUUUGACUGUGGAGAGUGACAACUUUUCUAAUCUUAGGACUCAUUUUUCUAUACUUAGACAUCCAAUAACUUUGCUCUGCCUUAACAAAAACUAGUAGCAUGCAUAAUAUGGUGAUAUACCACCGUAAGACUUAGAAUGUUGAGGCAGGAUUAUUCCCAUCUUCGGCUACAUAGUGAUACCCUAUCCAUAAACAACAACAAAGGAUGUUUCCUUAUUUAGAAGCUUAUUCGGGAGUUUGGUCCUUUCAUGCUCCCAUCUUGUAUAUGUUUACUCCCACCUGAGCCUGUCCUGCGGAGUACGGGUGCGCACGAGUCCUUUUUAUAGAAGCCCAAUAGAUCUAAGUCUAGGGGAUACUCUUGGUUCCAAUAGCAAUGCCCUCUCAUUACGACAACCACUACACAGGCCAGAUCCUCCCAAACUUACUCUGAUCAAAACAGUUUCUGAAACGGGGUUCCUUGCCUCUGCUUUUACAUGACCCCUCCUCCCUAAGUCUAUCCUGGCUUUUGCUACCAGAUGAAAUUUUGUCUUUCCCCAGUUCAUAGGAUUCAGUUCAGACAUCUCUACAGAACAACCCCAUUAUGCUUACCCAACCUCGUGGCCACAACUUGAAUUUCUCUUUACUUUUCAGACCUCUGGUGGGACUAACACACCUUGCUAAUGCUUUUGAGGUUUGUUUCUUUGUUUUUGUUUGCUUUGACUGGGAUGUCCCUGUCCUAAUUCCUUUGCCUCCAUUCAAAGCCCAUUCUUCAAUUGAAGGUCUGGAGAAGGUUUGUUUCCAUUGUGGAAGUCACCGAGCCCAUCUUCUUGUUGUUGUUUUGUUGUUGAUGUGUUUUUUGUUGUUUGUUUAUUCUCUAAGACAGGUUUCCUCUGUAUAGCCCUGGUGUCCUGGAAGUCGAUCUGUAGACAGGGUUGGCUUCCAAUUCAGAGAGAUCUGCCUGCUCUGCCUCCGGAGUGUUGGGAUUAAAGGCAGACGAGUCAGCUCAAGAGCAGGGACAGGCCUGGCACACUCUGUUCUUCCAGAGCCCAACAGCAGCAGUGCACAAAUGCCAUGUGUUCAGAAAAGGCUUGUUGACUCGGGGUGGAUACUGCCUGGGGAGAGAGCCCCCAACCCUGCUCAUCAGCCCUCUAACUCACUCCUAACAAGGCACAGCACCCACAGUUAAAUCUCCUCUUCAACGGUCACCUCCCUCCUCCUAUAAGGGUCUAGCCUUGGACCGAUGUCUCCUGCUUCUGGACAGUGCUCGUUUCCUUGACAGUCAGAGAACUAACUAUACUGAGAGAACUAACAGUACAGAGAAGCACUGGUGCUCAGCUCGAGGUCACAGCACCCUAACCUCACCCAGUCCUGUCCAAUCUGAGGCCAGAAGAGGGUGAUGGCUCCCCUGUAGCUGAAACAGCCACCAGACGUGGGUGCCAAGAACUGAGCUCAAGUCCUCUGGAAGAGCAGCUAAUCUCUGAGCCAUUUCUCCAGCUCAGUUCCUACAUCUCUUAACAUAAGUAUUUAUACCUGGCACUCAUCAGUGUUUGCCACAUUCCUGUUUGCUCAUUCAACAGUAAACCUGAGAAAUUGGGGAUUCAGCUGAAAACAGAGCCAUCUCUUGGAACGUGGAAUCUGCUGAUUCUCUGAGUAUACGUUUGUGUGCAGUGUUGUGCUCAGCCUCUCACCAGAGCACUGCUUUUCAGCUUUGGUACAUUGCCUGUCUGCCUCUGCUCCGGGAAUCACAUCUCAUAUCCCAUGCAGUUCACUUCCCAUCCCCUUCCCCCCUUUGCUCAGGAUGCCCAUGCUCUGUGUCUGCGGUGCUCGUGAGCAUGCAGCAGGCAUACUUCCUGGAUCCCCAGCUAGGAAGUGGGGAGAGGAAUUCUGAAACAAAGAAGGAGCCCCAGCCCAAGUCCCCACCUUAGGACCACACAGUUUGAGCAGAGCCUCUUACCAGCGGGAAGUCAUCAGGAUCAAUCCAGAUGAUACUGAGGUCGGGGUUCUCAGUGUUGUCUUGGGCCACAGCCUUGAGAGUCUCUAAGAACUCAUAGCCAUCUUGGAGGGAGCAGAAGUAAAAGUGAGGAGGAACAGACAGGAAAGGGACACAGGAAAUGAGUCCAGACCUAUUUCCCUACCUCCUACGACACCAACACCUUUCAAGCCCUAGGCUGCUUGCAAACUCCCAGGAAUGCCUUCCAUGUGAGGCCUACGAUCCAACAAAUACACCCCCUUCCCCCAGGCCGCUCCAGUGUCCUCUCCUCACCGGGAUCUGCUUCCUCUGCAAAGGCGACAAUGUGGAUUCCAUCCAGGUCAUCCUCCUGUUGGAGGGUGAGGAGGGGAGCAGGGUUAGAGCUGGGGAUGGGGGUGGUGGGGGAGACCUUACUGUCCUCCCGUCCAACCCCUUGCCCGUUGCUUGAAUCUGACUCCUGGAAUGGCAGCUUAUGUUUUCACGGUGGUGACUUUUCUAAUGGCAUCCUUUCUGCUCUAGGGAUCCUGUCAGCUCCAGAGUUUGAGUCAGCCUUGUCAUGUUCAUUGUCAUGCCUGUCACUUGAGACCUGACAUGGUCUUCGGUACAGAAACAAAACAAAUAAAAACCAACCCACGUGCCCCUUG